GAUACAACAAUGAAAGGGAAAUGAGCUUGAUGGAAGAGUACUCGAGCUCAGUUAAUCCUGCUGUCAGUUGGUGUUAAGGCAGCGAUCUAAGCGCUGGAUUCCAAGAGGAAGACACACACACACACAGCACCGUAGACGGAAGCAAGGACCCC